CCACCUCUCUUUUUCUAUUCUCUCUCUCCUUCCUUCCCCAUUUCUCUGUUCUGGACGUUCUCCCUUGUGAUAAGCCCCUCCUUUGUCGCUUGCCGGCCUCUCCCUCCAUCGGUAGCCAGCCUCUCCCUUUGCUAGCUGUCUCUCCCCGAUCGGGUGCUGUGCUCCUCCACAGUCGGUCGGCCGUCACCCCUCUGUGCCCCUCCUGGUGCUGCUACCAGG
rnacentral:lncRNA from 1 species